rnacentral:Y_RNA from 1 species
GACCGGUCUGCCUGGAGUGAAUUCUGACCAUAAACCAGAAAUAAUCAAGUGUUAAAGAAAAAUUUCUAAAGAAAGACUUUAGCCCCCCCACUGCUAAAUUUGACUGGCUUUAA